GGUGUUUGGCGGAUCCUCGGCGGUGCAUCCCCCGCCCCGGAAAAGCGGCAAACAAAAGGCAGCGGCAGCAAGGAGAGAAAUAGCUGGACGCGCCAGCCCCCAGACUCCCGGGCACGCUGCCGUUACGGGAGACGAGACCACAAACGCCUUGCUAGCUACAGCUCCCCACCAGCAAAUAGCGAGGGCCCCGAGUAGCUGGUUUCCAGGGCACGCAAAGCGAGCUUGCAAACUAUGAGCAACUCGGGGAGUCUUAAAAAAAAAAAAGCCCCGCAUGCCUCCCCGAAAGGGAAGCCUGGAGCUUCAUCUCAGGGGCAGCAGCAGCAGCUCCCACCCGGGGAAAAAAAAUUUGCUCUCAUAACCCGCACAGCCCCGCUUUAUUGUUUUAACUUACUCCGGCCCUGCGUUUGCAGCGCCCACGCCAGCAAGGAUCCCGAUCCAGCUGCGGCAGGGACGAGCGGCCCGGGCGCUGGCGGGAAAAUAAAAGGAGCCCCCACCUUGGGCUGCUUGAGUGACACCGGGGAGCGGCCAGUGAGGGCGCCGGGAGCCUGCGGCAAGGCGAGGCGUCAACGUCCCCGACUGGAAGGGACUCCGCCCCGGCCCCACAUAUAGGGGCGGGGGUAUCACGCUACCUCCCCCCCCCCACUGCCGCGCCCACUCCGGGCCCCAGGGGAAUUAGCACCGCCCAUAACAAGAAGAGUAUUGCAGGCGACUCUGGAGCCCCAAGGUCUUGCAAACGUCCCUUAGCUGCAUCCUGCGUGGAAUGGCUGAGCUGAUUCCCCCCAGGUGUGUGCGUGUGUGUGUCUGCAGCUGUGCCAGGCUCCCACCUAUCCCGGCCGCCACGCGCGGAAGUAUCCGCCGAAACCCGAUACAACGGAACCUGCUGGCAAGCCUCUGAGCCGCGAUUGGUGCGACGGGGUUCCUCUGGCGCCGCCCCGGCGCAACAGCCAGUCUCGAUUGGCUGCCAGCUGGUGUCAAUCCGGCACACUCAAUGGAGUCCCGUUUCAGGGUUGGAACUCCGAAAAAACGGAUUAACUCCUCUGAUGAACAAGUGGUGAAAGAGUUGUUCUUUGAACUGAAGAGAAACCUGGGAAUUAAAUGAAUCUGCCCGAAGCAGGUGCCCAGACACGUCUGCGAGUCAGCCUCGGGUUAGAACGCUUUUCAACAAAAGAAGAGCCCAGCGGUAAUUAGCGCUCAGUUCUUGGUAAUCAAACCCACACCUUCGGACCCUAACACUUUCGAUAGACUUACAGUCGCUACCGAUGAGGCACGCACGUUGGUUGACACAGUGUACGGAGGGAAAUUCAGCAGAAAAUAGCCCUUAAAGUCCGUGUCUUGUCAUUGGCCCUUCUCCUCUCUGAUUCGUCUUCAGUCUCCUCGGUUGUACGCAAUGGCGGGGGGGGAGGGGGGGGGGAGGAAAUGUUCAUAGAUUCCCCCCUCCCCCAACAGUGAAAUG